rnacentral:lncRNA from 1 species
UUUUUUUUUUUCCCCCCGCUUUGGUGAACUCGCAGUACUUGGGCUGAGCCCGAAAUCUCGCGAGAUGCUGCAGGCGUCAGUGCGGCUUCCCACUAGGCGCGUGGUACCCGAGGCCGGGCCGGAGCCGCAGGCCAGCCGCGAUUCCUUCGGGCGAUGCUGGGGGCUUUCCGGUCGGGGCCGCAGCCGCUUCCGGAGCCGCGGGCGAGGUGCGUUCCCCAGCCUGGUUUGCUCUGGGCUCUGACCCGCCGCCGCGAAUCUCCGCUCGUAACUCCGGGCCUGAACCUGGAGGAGGGAGGAUUUCCUCUGUGCAGCUUUCGAGCGGUAGACUCACCCUGCCAGGCAGACCUAGAUUGGCAUAACCAGAGAUCAGUUCCAGUUGUGAUGCAGUGGGUGUCUACACACUUCUGAUGACACCUUUAUUUUAAAAGCUGAUGUUCCAAGGUGCAAGCGGUCUUCUCUGUCUUCUUUAUGGCCAGUAAAAUUCUCCAGAAGAGAUUUAUGGCAGCCUCACUCCCAGUAGUUUCUGCAUUUAGUGAGAUAAGAUGGAAUCUUGCUCUCUUGCUCAGACUGGAGUGCAGUGGCAUGACCUUGGCUCACUGCAACCUCACCUCUCGGGUUCAAGCGAUUCUGCCUCAGCCUCUCGAGUAGCUGGGACUACAGGUGGGAGACCUCCACAGAACCCUUCCAGCAAGCUGUCUUCUAAAGCAAACAAGAAAAGGAAAGUCUGAGCAGUUUUGAUUAGAUUUCCCAGAAGUCAAAGCAAGGAAAAAUGAAAAAGCUUCAUUUCUCACGUUCUUAAAAGAGAGCACAGAUGUUGCAUCAUCUGGUUAGAUACCCUGAGAAUAAAAUCUGGAUCCAGUGAGAGGAAAGAUUCUGGGUGCUCAUGAAAAAAGAAACAAAACAAAACUUGGGAGCCUCUUGAGAGUGUACAGCAUCAGCCCUUGCCAACUCUUGUUUAUAUGCAUUUAACUUUCAGUUAACCAUGGGAAUAAUUCAUGAAAAUCCAAUCUACAAACAAAGGCCAUCCUAACGUUCAUGUUAUUCUUUUCCCUAAGAAUCUUUCACAAGAGCUAUAAUCAAGUAGAAUUAUGCUUUGAUUUGAAUUCUAAUUCAAUUGAAAAUAAAAAAUGAGGGCCGGACGCGGUGGCUCAUGCCUGUAAUCCCAGCGCUUUGGGAGGCUGAGGUGGACGGAUCACGAGGUCAGGAGAUCGAGACCAUCCUGGCUAACACGGUGAAACCCGAUCCCUACUAAAAAUACAAAAAAUUAGCCGGGCGUGGUGGCAGGCGCCUGUAGUCCCAGCUACUCGGGAGGCUGAGGCAGGAGAAUGGCGUGAACCCAGGAGGCAGAGGUUGCAGUGAGCCGAGAUCAUGCUACUGCACUCCAGCCUGGGCGACAGAGCGAGACUCUGUGUAUAAAUAAAUAAAUAAAUAAAUAAAUAAC